rnacentral:lncRNA from 1 species
GUUUCAAUAUAGAAAGAUCUAUAUUUGAUUGUUUCGUGUAAAAUACAUACACGAUAUUUUCUAUCGGUCAGGUGAAUUCAUAAAAUUUGCUUAUUUAAUAUACUAAUUAACGUUUACGUAACUAAACCAUAACACGCAUAUUUAAUAUAACCAACGUUCGAUGACGUCAGGUAAGCGCUCUUAAAAUGGCGUCGGAUAAACGAAAUGUUACGAAAUUCAGUAAAAAUUGCACUGUCGGUCAAUCGGAAACUUGGUCCGAAAAUACUGGACGAACCAGAGGAAUGAUUUGUUCUAGUUUUGGGGGUGGCGACGUUCGAUUAUAGAAAAUCUCGCUUACAACCCCUUGUGGAGAGUGGAAACCGAAGACAGAGGGUGAUAGGGAGUCUCUCGAUCCCAAUCCGUCGUCAUUCGGGGGAUAGAAACGUAAAAAAUGCAGAUAUUUAGCCUUAAAAUUCAAAAAGAAUCCAUGACGUCAAUCGCAUUGGAAUUCGUUACGCGCUUUUCUAAUCUCCAUAGAAACGGCAACAAUUGCUGUUUCUAUUGUUGCAACACGAUUUUGCGUCACUUUGCACGUUUUUCGCUUGCUGUGAGGACGUGUGCGCUCUUUGCUCCUGUUUUCGCUGUGUUUUUUGCCUUCUUCAGUGUUCUUUUCUACCGGAACGUGGUUUUAAGAAGACUUGUGGACGCCGACGUUAUACCAAGUAAGAUUUUAACUAGAAUUUAUCUAGCUGUAAGAUUUUAUUUUCGUUUCGUUUAGUCCAACUUUCGGAGACGACAUCGGCGUUUAAAUCUGCCGUCGCUUGUGAAUUAGGACUUUUAAACGAACGACCGAAGCGCCGAAAACGGAUUAAGUAUUUGCUCAUUGGUUUAUUCUCGUAAUUAAUUCAUUUAUAUUUUAUAAACACGGUCAAAGAAUAAGGAUUAUUUAUAGAAAUUCAAUUAAAAAUUACUUAAUACUAACUUUAAAUACGAAUUCCAUCGUAAUUUUAACUAAAAUAUACUCUGGUAACAUUGAUGGACGGAGACCGUAUUCUGAAGCAUGGGAUGUUCGUUCGACAGGUCAAAAACUUCGCCCUUUGACCUCCGAUGCAAUUUAUGUAUUAGUUACAACGCUUUUCAAUGGCUUAUUUUGCCAGAAUUAAAUUGUCUGCAAACACAUCUAAUACUAAUACACUUAACAGUUAUCUAUACAGGCUGGACACAAAGAAUUCUUUUCCUUAGGCUCUUUGUCUCUUUUCACAAGGUGGUCUGAGUGCAGUCGAUCUUCCACACUUACGUAACAUUUAAGUGGCACAAUGCUUUGUGCCACUUAAACGUUCGUGUCCCGAAUGGCGAGUUGGGCUGUGGGCACGUUUCACUUCUUCCUACGUUUGUCUUGUGUUUCGGUCGACUCGUUCGCAAUUUCUUUGCACGAAACUCUUUUAAAUGCCGUCGUUGCGUUUAUGUGACGUACACGUUAGGGUAAAUUGCUCUAGAACGAAACACUUGUUACGACUCGGGCUCGAAUGCCUUUUCCUCAUGGCUACGUGCGGCGUGUCUUUAAUUUACUGUCGUACAAAUACAAAUUACACGUAAGAGAGUUUCUUCGUUCCGGGUCGGUCGUCUCUACUGCAAAUACAGUUGGAACGUUCUAGCAAUUUCCGGUAGGAUCUAACGCGAGCUAUCCGAAUUCCGAUUCGUCGUGAGUAUAAUCUUGAACUUUUUCUGCGUUAAUCGGUCCCAGAAGACAUCUCGGCACGUCGUUCGAUGGUCGGAUUCGAAUCUUUUAGAUUUAAAAAGGCAGCUGCGGUGAGCAUUUUGCUUUUUUCGGAAGAAUUUAGACAUUAAUUUAAGCUUUUGUUUUAAUCGACUAAUUGCAAAUUUUCUUUUUUUCAGAAUGAAGAUGUUGGAGUGGUUUCGCCGGAGGUUCCGACGGAAGAAUGCGGUGGCGCCGGAGGGAGGGGGUUCCUCGGACGGCUCCGAUGAGACGUUCGAGGACCGUGGGUUCGACCGUGUCUCUGUCGAAUCGAUUAGUUCGGUGUCGUUGGAGACCGUCGAACAAGAGGCAGUGGGUGGUGACGACCUUCCCCCAGUGCGUGUGGCGUGGGACUCUCCCGGAGGCGGGAGAGUUCUGAGUCCAUUCCACUUGGUCAAUGUCGUCAGGGAGCAGCCGGCCACAAGCCUUGUUGUGGAAGACGUAGAGAGUGGCGAGUUCUCUUUGAGUUCGGCGUCACUUUCUACUUUCGCGUGGUCUGCCUCUCUGUACGCGCUCGCGAGCUCGUCGCCAUCGUCUUUCCGAAGUCGGAACGGGGAAGCAUCGGAGGAGAGCGCCGCCGAAGUCGAGGAACCGCGGGUUUGUUGCUGCGGGUGGCUGCGGUUCCCUCGGCCUAGGCGGUGAUCCUCUUCGAUUUUCCCCAACUCGUCCUUUUCACCCGGAUGCGACAUUCUGACCGGAUUCGACACUUUUCACCCGGACAUGACCUCUUUACUCGGACGUGGCCUUCUCUUACCCGGAUGUUCUCACGGACUUGUCUCCCGAACGUGACACUCGAUCGACGACAACGGAUUUGACUUCCGAUUGUGACCACCCGGACUUGACACGUUUCUUCACCGGACGCGACAUUCGGCCGACCUUUCUUCCCAAACAGCUGUUACGAGGAUUGAGCUUCUGGUUAGGUUAGGUUAGGUUAGGUUAGGCUAGGCUAGGUCAGGUCCUUCGCUCUCCUCAUGACACUGUUCGGGAAGAAAGACUAUCUGAUAAAGGUAAUAAUGUUGACCUUAGAUAAUAAAUGAAUCAACUUCUCCUUUUCUCACUGUCUUUGUGUUUUGUAGGAACAUUUGGGAGGGAGAAGGAUCUCCCUCCCCAACUUUACCACGAAGAGGACGAAGUGGCCAUUUAUCGUACAAGUGAAUGUUUUCCGAAAUCUCCGAUGACAUGCCGAAGAUGUUCUUGGAUCACACACACACACACACACACGCACGGAUAUAACAUCACUGUACACGAAGAUAUACACCGUUUAACCUUUACUCGAAUUCUCGCACUCACGCAUUUACACGUCAAGCGCCACGUUCUGUGUAAUUCCACACAAUGAAACAACCCGAACACAC